UUUCAGAUCCUGCAGAGCAGAAGAAAGUAUGAUGGAGAAUACACACCAGAUGUUUCCUGGGAUAAAGAUGCCAUCCUUUCACUGGGGAAACUUGCAUUUCAUCAGUUAGAAAGAAAUAACCUGAUCUUCUAUGAUACAGACCUGGAAGCCUGUGGUAUUGAUAUAUAUAAGGCAUCAGUAUAUUCAGGCAUGUGUACCCAGAUCUUUAAGGAGGAAACAGGGAUCAUUGCUGGUACCAUGUACUGUUUUGUUCACUUGAGCAUUCAAGAGUUCAUUGCAGCCCUUUAUGCACAUCUGUUUCUAGACAUCAACAAGAAAAGUGUGUUUGUUCAAGACUCUACAGAACAGGAAAACAAAAAUGAAGUCAUGAUUGAUUUGUUCAAGACUGCAGUGGACAAGGCACUCAAGAGUGACAAUGGACACCUGGAUCUUUUUCUUCGUUUCCUUCUUGGUCUGUCACUCCAAUCCAAUCAACUACUCUUACGAGGUCUGUUGACACAGUAUGACUACAGUGACCAGAGCAAAAAGGAAGUAGUUUUCAGUACAUAAAGCAGAAAUUAGAGGAUAAUUUGUCUCCAGAGAGAUCCAUCAAUCUGUUCUAUUGUCUGAAUGAACUGAAUGAUCAAACUCUUGUGAAAGAGAUUCAGACUCACCUCAGUAAAGGAAGUCUUUCAUCUUCUGAUCUUUCACCUGCUCAGUGGUCUGCUUUGGCCUUUGUUUUGUUGACAUCAGAGGAAGAGAUGGAGGAGUUUGAGCUUCAGAAAUUCAAAGAAAUCAGAUGAGUGUCUCAUUAGAUUAUCGGCAGUCAUCAAAACUACCAAAAGAGCUUUGCUAAAUGAUUGUAACAUAACAGACAAAAGCUGUCCAGCUCUGGCUACAGUUCUUGGAUCAGAUACCAGUCUGAAAGAGCUGAACAUGAACAAUAACAAUCUGCAGGACUCAGGAGUAAAGCAUCUCUGCAUUGGACUGAAGAGUUUAAAUUGCAAAUUAGAGAUACUUAGACUAUCAGACUGUGGCAUCAAUGAAGAAGGUUAUAAAGCUCUGGCUUCGGCUUUGAGAUCAAAUCCUUCACACCUGUUAGAGCUGGAUCUCAUAGGAAAUUGAUCCUGGACAAUCAGGAGUGAAGGAGCUCAAUGAUUUACUACUGGAUCCAAAUUGUCAACUGAAGACACUGAGGUUUUUGGGCCCUGCUGCAGAUGAAGCCUGUCAGUAUGUGACUGGAAUUGUGGGUAAAAAAACCCAUUAUUCCUGAGAGAACUGAAUCUAUGUGGACAUGAACUAGGAGACUUGAAACAGCUUUUUCCACUACUGCAGGAUAAACACUGUAUACUCAGCACACUAAUACUUUCAGACUGCUGUAUCACUGAAGAAGGUUAUAAAGCUCUGGCUUCAGCUCUGAGAUCGAACCCUUCACACCUGAUAGAGCUGGAUCUGACAGGAAAUGAUCCUGGACAUUCAGGAGUGAAGGAGCUCAAUGAUAUACUACAGGAUGAUUCCAGUAAAUUAAAGGCCAUCAGGUUUUUGAAAAGCCCUGCUGCAAAGGAAGCAUGUGAUUAUCUCACUGAAGAAGUCUAGGUACAAGUCCAUUAGUUCUGAAAGAACUGGAUCUGAGUGAAGUUAAUUUAGGA